UGAGAACCAACAGGGAUGCCUUAGUAGCGGCGAGUGAAGCGGCAAAAGCUCAAAUUUGAAAUCUGGCACUUUCAGUGUCCGAGUUGUAAUUUGAAGAAGGUAUCUUUGGGUCUGGCUCUUGUCUAUGUUUCUUGGAACAGAACGUCACAGAGGGUGAGAAUCCCGUGCGAUGAGAUGUCCCAGACCUAUGUAAAGUUCCUUCGAAGAGUCGAGUUGUUUGGGAAUGCAGCUCUAAGUGGGUGGUAAAUUCCAUCUAAAGCUAAAUAUUGGCGAGAGACCGAUAGCGAACAAGUACAGUGAUGGAAAGAUGAAAAGAACUUUGAAAAGAGAGUGAAAAAGUACGUGAAAUUGUUGAAAGGGAAGGGCUUGAGAUCAGACUUGGUAUUUUGUAUGUUACUCUCUCGGGGGUGGCCUCUACAGUUUACCGGGCCAGCAUCAGUUUGGGCGGUAGGACAAUUGCAAAGAAAUGUGGCACUGCCUCGGUAGUGUGUUAUAGUCUUUGUCGAUACUGCCAGCCUAGACUGAGGACUGCGGCUUCGGCCUAGGAUGUUGGCAUAAUGAUCUUAAGUCGCCCGUCUUGAA
rnacentral:rRNA from 1 species